CAGCAGCCGCGGUAAUACGAAGGGGGCUAGCGUUGUUCGGAUUUACUGGGCGUAAAGGGCGCGUAGGCGGACUGAUAAGUCAGGGGUGAAAUCCCAAGGCUCAACCUUGGAACUGCCUUUGAUACUGUUUGUCUUGAGUUCGAGAGAGGUAAGUGGAACUGCGAGUGUAGAGGUGAAAUUCGUAGAUAUUCGCAAGAACACCAGUGGCGAAGGCGGCUUACUGGCUCGAAACUGACGCUGAGGCGCGAAAGCGUGGGGAGCAAACAGGAUUAGAUACCCCCGUAGUCCCUGUCUCUUAUAC
rnacentral:rRNA from 1 species